UACGUAGGUGGCAAGCGUUAUCCGGAUUUACUGGGUGUAAAGGGCGUGUAGGCGGGAUUGCAAGUCAGAUGUGAAAACUGGGGGCUCAACCUCCGGCCUGCAUUUGAAACUGUAGUUCUUGAGUGCUGGAGAGGCAAUCGGAAUUCCGUGUGUAGCGGUGAAAUGCGUAGAUAUACGGAGGAACACCAGUGGCGAAGGCGGAUUGCUGGACAGUAACUGACGCUGAGGCGCGAAAGCGUGGGGAGCAAACAGG
rnacentral:rRNA from 1 species